CCUGAUGGCUCAGUGGUAAAGAAUCUGCCUGCAGUGCAGAAGACCUGGGUUCAAUCCCUGGGUCAGGA
rnacentral:tRNA from 1 species